ensembl:lncRNA
UAUUAGUCUGUUUCUCUCUUAUUCCGAGGUCACCGUAGCCACCAGAUCCAGUCUGUAUCCAACCCAGAUGGUGGAUCAGCACCUAGAAAGGACCUCUACAGCCCUGAAAGACAGUGGAGACCAGGACAACUAGAGCCCCAGAGACAGAUCCCCUGUAAAGACCUUGUCUCAGACGACCACCGGGACAAGACCACAGGAAACAGAUGAUUCUUCUGCACAAUCUGACUUUGCUGCAGCCUGGAAUUGAACUGCUGGUUUCGUCUGGCCAGAGGAGAACUGGCCCCCCAACUGAGCCUGGUUUCUCCCAAGGUUUUUUCUCCAUUCUGUCACCGAUGGAGUUUUGGUUCCUUGCCGCUGUCGCCUCUGGCUUGCUUAGUUGGGGACACUUCAUUUACAGCGAUAUCGUUGACUUGAUUGCAAAUUAUUGCACAGAUACUAUUUAAACUGAACU